AGGCCCAACCUCGGAACUGCAUUGGAAACUGAUUUACUUGAGUGCGAUAGAGGCAAGUGGAACUCCAUGUGUAGCGGUGAAAUGCGUAGAUAUGUGGAAGAACACCAGUGGCGAAAGCGGCUUGCUAGAUCGUAACUGACGUUGAGGCUCGAAAGUAUGGGUAGCAAACGGGAUUAGAUACCCCGGUAGUCCAUACCGUAAACGAUGGGUGCUAGUUGUUAAGAGGUUUCCGCCUCCUAGUGACGUAGCAAACGCAUUAAGCACCCCGCCUGAGGAGUACGGCCGCAAGGCUAAAACUUAAAGGAAUUGACGGGGACCCGCACAAGCGGUGGAG
rnacentral:rRNA from 1 species